rnacentral:rRNA from 1 species
UAAGAGCUUGCUCUUAUGAAGUUAGCGGCGGACGGGUGAGUAACACGUGGGUAACCUACCCAUAAGACUGGGAUAACUCCGGGAAACCGGGGCUAAUACCGGAUAAUAUUUUGAACUGCAUAGUUCGAAAUUGAAAGGCGGCUUCGGCUGUCACUUAUGGAUGGACCCGCGUCGCAUUAGCUAGUUGGUGAGGUAACGGCUCACCAAGGCGACGAUGCGUAGCCGACCUGAGAGGGUGAUCGGCCACACUGGGACUGAGACACGGCCCAGACUCCUACGGGAGGCAGCAGUAGGGAAUCUUCCGCAAUGGACGAAAGUCUGACGGAGCAACGCCGCGUGAGUGAUGAAGGCUUUCGGGUCGUAAAACUCUGUUGUUAGGGAAGAACAAGUGCUAGUUGAAUAAGCUGGCACCUUGACGGUACCUAACCAGAAAGCCACGGCUAACUACGUGCCAGCAGCCGCGGUAAUACGUAGGUGGCAAGCGUUAUCCGGAAUUAUUGGGCGUAAAGCGCGCGCAGGUGGUUUCUUAAGUCUGAUGUGAAAGCCCACGGCUCAACCGUGGAGGGUCAUUGGAAACUGGGAGACUUGAGUG